GACGAACGCUGGCGGCGUGCUUAACACAUGCAAGUCGAACGGAAAGGCCCUGCUUUUGUGGGGUUCUCGAGUGGCGAACGGGUGUGUAACACGUGAGUAACCUGCCCUUGACUUUGUGAUAACUUCAGGAAACUGGGGCUAAUACCGGCUAGGAGCUCCUGCUCCAUGUUGUGGGUUGGUAAGUUUCGGCGGUUGGGGAUGGACUCGCUGCUUAUCAGCUUGUUGGUGGGGUAGUGGCUUACCAAGGCUUUGACGGGUAGCCGGCCUGAGAGGGUUAACGGCGACAUUGGGACUGAGAUACGGCACAGAAUCCUACGGGAGGCAGCAGUGGGGAAUAUUGCAAAAUGGGGGGAAGCCUGAUGCAGAAACGCCGCGUGCGGGAUGACGGCCUUCGGGUUGUAAACCGCUUUCGCCUGUGACGAAGCGUGAGUGACGGUAAUGGGUAAAGAAGCACCGGCUAACUACGUG
rnacentral:rRNA from 1 species